rnacentral:rRNA from 1 species
AUUGAACGCUGGCGGCAGGCCUAACACAUGCAAGUCGAGCGGAGCGGCUGUCGGGUGCGUAUUGCCUAUUAAUCUGCCUGGUAGUGGUGUUUAACGUCCGGCACCGGGCGCUAAUACCGCAUCCUAUCCGAUCAGCCUAGGUCGGAUUAGCUAGUUGGUGGGGUAAAGGCCUACCAAGGCGACGAUCCGUAACUGGUCUGAGAGGAUGAUCAGGCACACUGGAACUGAGACACGGUCCAGACUCCUACGGGAGGCAGCAGUGGGGAAUAUUGGACAAUGGGCGAAAGCCUGAUCCAGCCAUGCCGCGUGUGUGAAGAAGGUCUUCGGAUUGUAACGCACUUUAAGUUGGGAGGCGUUAGAAAGAGAAUAAGCACCGGCUAACUUCGUGCCAGCAGCCGCGGUAAUAG